rnacentral:lncRNA from 1 species
GAGGUCUGUUCCUUUGUUUUUUAGUGUUACACUUUUGAGUGUAAGUGUACGAAAUUCUAUGGACAUUUGAGUGUAAAAUGACAGCGGAUGUGACAGCGGCUCAUGACAGCGGACAGUAUUAAACGAAAAUUAUCGGUGUGCCAAUCAAGCAAAGGGACAAGGAACUUCCGAAUAUGGCCUAACUGGGGGCACAUAACAUAACAUAACCUAAUCCUAAUAUUUACAUUUGUUAAAGAAUAUCCUGUUUGUUUUUAUUGUCGAUUGUGCAGCGAAAUUGUGUGCAGCAAAUCAAAUAUAAAGUAGUUUAUCGCCUACAGAACUGAAUUAGUCCAUAGCAGUUAUCAGUUUUUCUUUCUUGGGAAGCUUAUACAUGUAACUUGUAUUGUUGUAAAUUGUGGGAGUAGGGCAGACAGGGAAAAGUCUUAUUUUGUACUGUUCCCAAGGCUCCCCAUGCAAUACAUUUAAAUGAAUUAUCCAAACAAAGCCGGGGACAAUGGAUAAAAGCCACAAGAAGAACAGAUAUAAGGGAACUAAAAUUAAAAUAUGAAAAGUAAACAUUUUAUAAGUGGAACAACCACCAGAUAUUUAAAAGGUAUAAAAAGAAGAAACUGCUAGAACUUCAAAACAAAUGUGUUUGACUAGUAAAGAUUUGGAUAAACAACAGGAGUUACUUUGGGCUAUAGCUAAGUGCAGAUUUAUUUCCUUGUGGCUUCCUAUGUUAAUUCUUAUUAAUUAUACACUUAAAUAUGUUUUUAGUCUCAGGAAGAUUUUAUAUUUGAUUAUUUUUGAAUAAAAAUUAUUAUUAUUAUUACCUUAAUUUCCAUUAAAUAAAUUAACUGUAAUCAAUAAAGUAAUCGUUUAAUUGUUAAUAAAUUAUCAAGUAUGAUUC